CUUUGCACAGGUUUUGAUAAAUCUCCUCCAAUCACAGCCAAGAUAACACAGGAGCGGCUUAGGGACAACUCUGUGAAUGUCUCUGAAUAGACCUGAAAAUGGCUUCCACCGACGGUCCCCAUCAGACAUGACAGAGCUGAGAGGAUCUCAUCCCCAAGAAGACUGGAGGCUGGAAACACUGCCAAAGGGGCUUUAACUAAGUCCUGAGUAAAGGAUGCCGGACUGCACAAGCAAGUAAACUGAGAAGCGACUAAGGCUGGGGAAGGAGGAGUUUGGACAUAUGCUUGUGGCCAUCUUGGAUUAGAGUUCAGAGAGGACACAGAGGAAACAGUCUGUCAGGAUCUGAUCCAAGGAGUACUGGAGAAGCGGAUAGAAAUCUGCUAGCAAGUUGAACAAGAUCCAGAGAAUCUUAAAGCGGGCACCCUGAACUCACAUACAGAUGAAAGAUCUUGAUAUCCAUUUCCUGCCAUUUUGAGAAUUUCAGCCUACUCAAAGUGACACUGUGAAACAGGACUUUGUAUGGGCCCCAUCUAUUCAAUAUGCACCAACUAAAGGUACCCAAUGGCCGCCCAAAGGUUUUUCCAUUUUUGCACUUUCCUUUUUUCCUUACCUUUUAAAAAUCACAAACCUUUCAAUUUUUCACCUAAAAAUCCAUAUGAUGGCUUUCCAAUUCUACUUCGUAAUGACAUCAGUCAUUUUACCCAAAAAUCUAUGACGAAACAAAAAAAAACAUCAUUGUGCGAAAAAAUUGAAGAAAAAACACCAUUUUGUAACUUUUGGGGGCUUCCAUUUUUACGCAGUAAAUUUUUCGGUAAAAAUGACACCUUCUCUUUAUUCUGUAGGUCCAUACGG